GGGACGGAAGAGGGACGUGGGAGGGUCGGGUGGUGUACGGCUCCAAGCAGAGUGCUGAAUGUGGUGGAUAAUCAUGUUGUUGUUGUGUUUCCAGGUGAAGUUACAGCGGCUGUGUUUGGAUUCCCAAUGUGAGCAUUCCAGCAGGCGGAGCAGAUGGGUCAUGUUUGGCUGAGGGAUGGGGAGGAUUGAACAAUGUGUAGUGGUCACUUCAAAGUCCAACUUUUCAAGGCGAUUGUUCACGUAGCAGUGUAAGCUUACCGUAUUGACUCAAAUGUAAAACCACCCUGAAUGUGCAGUACAAUCACUCCUUUUCAGACUUGUUUCUAGGGAAGAAAUACUGUCUUAUAUUGAAGUCAAUAUGGUAACCCUCCCCAAGUCUUUACUUGGAACAUGUCCAAUUUCCAGAGAACUACAGGAGGAACUAGCCCCUACUUUUAGUGACUAUUCUCUUCAGGAUCACUCUACAUGCUGAUGUUCUACACCAGAUGCUUCACUUCUGAAACCCCGGGGCUACAAAACAGAAAACCAUCUGACUUGCUAGUGUCCCUGUUCAACAACUUACUCUAACAUCGAUUGGAAACCCUCAGGCCACGUUUCCACCAAGUGGUCCAGUUGGGUUGGAAGCAUCUGCUACAUAAAGCAUGACAUCAUAGCAACAUGGCAACACAACACAAGAGGAAGGCCACACAGUAAACAAUGGAAGUCAUAUUUCCAUUCUCUACAAGUGUGGUUUGAACCCAAAAUGGAAGGGUACAGAAAGGUCUAUGGUACAAGUCCGUCAUUUAGGGACUUUGCAACGUGACCACUAGUGUCCUGCUUGGUGGAAAGUCGGCAUUGCACAUCCAUGACUCCAUCCUCAACCCUGACAUAGAAGUCAACCCUACAGCCAAACAUUGGACCCCAGGCCUGAAGCAUCCAGGGAACCAGCAGAACACAGCCAAGGACAGCCAUGACAGUCAAAGAGCAGAGAGAGGAUGUUGUGGUGAUGGAGGAUAGCAAAGGUGUGCAAUGCUCUCACCUAUAUACUGUCCAUUGAAAUAGCCCUCACAGUCACAGUCGUCUGUAAGGGAGGCAAGCAGGGACAAGAAGAAGGGGUGGGUCAGCACAGGGUAGAAACGUUAAGGAAGGUCUAUGGAGGACUUGAAGGGGGGCAGGGCUUGGGGAGCAGCGGAACUAAGGGGAUAAUGAUGGAAAAAAACAAAUAUGGACGGAUGAGAAACCCAAACGAUUCAGCCCAAAACACGAAAGCUCAUCUACAACCAGACUUUUAGAGGUUGGAUGAGAAAAGGUACUGUUAUCUUUAACACCUGUGGCCUGACUGGACUGCAGUCCAAGCAUCUCUAUUUAAAAGGUGGGGAGGAAUUAAGCAAGAAUAGCGAAGAUGCACCCAUGCAAACAUGCUAUGGUGUGUAAUCAGCAAUCCUACUCACCCUUGUCACACGCUUGGUCAACUGCAAGACAAGCAGACAGAGUCAAAAAUGUGCUUUUUAUUUGUGUACGAGGAUGUGACGAAAAAGAAGAUUUAGAGAUGCAGGAUUAACACAGACAUAAAAGUCACUAAUGGGAAAAGCAAGGGGCCCUGCUGGGCUGGAGGGGAAUUAAGCUAGCCGGGUGGGAGAGGAGUCUCCCUGUGGGGGGGGCGACUGCCAUGUUGCUAAGCCGUAGUGCCUAAUCGGAUCGCUCGCAGCUUACACAUUGCAGAGAACCCCCCUCCCCGCCUCUAACCCUGAAUAUGGACCUACCUGUCUGCAUGCAUGCCGACAUGGAGCUUGAAAGUGACAAGCGUAUUGUUGAGGCGUGUGGAUCUACUUAAUCUGUCGCUGGACAGAUGGACUGAGCAGGGGUGAGAUUAAUUCAUAUCUGGCCCCCCUCAUCCGUCUAAAACAUGUCCACCAGCAGAAGAGAGAACAUCCCACAGCGCAAAUUAAUAAACGUUAUCCUAAUGAGUUAGCAGAGGAAGACUUUGAAGGUCAGCAAACAACAAGCAGGAACUUACAGGCUGGCGUUUUGGGGGAUUUGGGAUUCGGGAGCGUGCCUACUUUCAUCCUGUAGGCCAGUCGCCUGGUGACGUCCAAGCAGGAGGGCAAUGGGCAAGAAGGAAAGAGAAGAAGAAGAAAAGAUGGGGGUUGGUUAAUCAGGUGCCUCUUUGUCUAAGUGGUCGCAAAGAGGAUAUUGUUUAUGGUAAAUUGUUGGGGUUGUGUUCCAAAACCCCCCGCAAAAGGUGAAAAACCGCUGAAAGUAUGGAUUGACUUUUGGAUAUGCGGGGGAGCGAAUACCAAACCGCGAAUAAGCGGGGAUCUACUGUACAGUACUAUUAAAGAUACUGUUAUACUAGAUCAACAUCCUAAAGGGAAACCUUCAAGUGGCACUGUGCAUGUGGGGUCUGGUUCCUCUCACCUCUCCUGGAACUGCUUGGACGGGACCAGCCCAGCCCGCAGGUUGCUAUCGCCCACCCGCUUGGCCUGCCACCAUGUGGGGUCAUCCUGGGUGACCACCUGCAGGAUGUCGCCCCGCUUGAAGGGGAGUCCCGCCUCCUGGCAAGGAGUGGCCUUGUCCUCCAAGGGGAUGUAGUCGAACAAGGCUCUCACGUACACCUGGAGGGAUGUAACAGACAUUAAAUAUGUCACACAUUAGCAUUACAAGCAUCAUAUAUUUGAAGGGAUAGUAGCAGUGCAUUUGUGGGCUGGAGCCUUCGAGUUGGCUCACCUUGCUCUCCCUCAGUCUGUCCUCCUCUUUAACAGCAGGAAUGAUCUUGAGUGUGAUGGACCCCUGAGACUGAGACUACAGCUCAUAUUAAGAAAUGAUCUCUGCGCCGCUAUUGACCGUUGUACGUUUUGAAUGAGACUCACCAGCAGCUGACUGAUCUCGUCUGGCCUCUUGUGGAUCACCGAGACGCCGUUGACUUCUCUGAGUUCAUCUCCGACGUGGACCAAACCUGCCAGUAGGAGCAAAGAAAGUCUAUGAAAGAUUUAUUCUGAUAUCUCCUUGCUGAGGUCUCUGAGCUGCAGCCACAACAAGGAAUUCAAGAAGCUGACAACUGAUCAAUACUCUAGUCUGAUUCCCUGGACACACACACACUAUGAAUAAGGGAGCACAUGUGGCUGAUGUUUCCAUGGUAACGACUGUCAGAGAAUGCCUUCGCCGUCGUUACCAUGGUUACACAUCACUCAGGUCGCCACUGUAAAAUAAUCAUGGAAGUGGAGAAUGGAAGCACGACCUACCGCUUCUAUCCGCGGCGCCUCCUCUCAUAAUGCGAGCCACGAUCACGGCCCCGGUCACGUCGUCUCGCCUGAUGGUGGCGCCCUGGAGUCAGUGCGGGAAGAGAGGUAAAUAUAAUUGCAUACGUGUUUGCACCUCGAUGCUACCACCGCCACCGACCAGAGGUUCCUUGUUCUUCACCAGACGCACUAUUUUCACCGACUCCUCCUCCAGCUCAUCCUCAUAGUCAUCCGGCAACGGCGGCAGGACGGGAUCAAAACUCUUUUGAGCGACGGUGUCGUGUACAGACAGAAGGGCCUGACGGGAUGCGACAGACGCAGCAGCUUCAGUAUCACACCGCGCUGCUCUUCAAAGCCAGCAGAUGGAGGGACAAAAAAAAAGGGAAAACAGAAGCAGGAUGGAGGGAUAAAGGAGCGUACCAUCUGCUGGCUGACCGCUCAUCUUGUUGUUAAAACGACCAACGUGAAACCACGAGAAAGCAUCGCUUACCUUCUUGUCUCUUCUCACGACGACUGCAGCCACACUCUUCCUCCUCCUCCUCCUCCUCCUCCUCCUCCUCCUCUGGCUGCUGUGCUCACAAACCUGCUGCUGCCUCCCUUAGAAGACACCUCUCCUCCCCCCCAUUGAACCUCCCUUACACCCCUCCCGCUAUCACUGCCUCUUUCAGCCCCGCCCCUCACGUCUGCUGUGUGUGUGUGCGUGUGUGUGUGUGUGUGUGUGUGUGUGUGUGUGUCAGUAAUCAAGCUAGCAAUCCUCAACAAGAUUGACAGCAGCACAUUUUAUUCUCCCGUUGUCACCAUGGAAACGGGAAGACGGUGUCACCCUCGUGAUGUUGUCGCUCGUUAGCAGAGCGCUGACCCUAAAUAGGCACCAGUGUGACCUUUGAACUCUGCCUAUAGUCAUGCGUAUACCGAAGCGAAUCGUCUUCCAGAUCAGCAGGGUUCUUAAGAGUUUGACGUAACCGCCGCCGCAGCAGGAGUAGUAGCAUAAUAGCGACAACGCACACACUGACACGCUAAUCCAUGACUUUUUGGUGCAAUUCUGGAUAAAAAUGCACUUAAAGGAACUAACAAUCACACAAAUACAUAAAAACCUGGUGGAGGUCCACAAUGUACUGAUAUUCUAAUGAUGGAUUUGUAUAAUGUACUUAAAUAAAAUAAAAUAAUUCAUCUGAUCAAUAUUGAAGUUAUUUAGUAAUAAAAAAUACGUACUUUUAAAACCAUGAGUAAAAUAUCAGUUCAUGUAGAAAGUAUUGACACGAUUAUUAAAUUGUCAAAUUUUGAAAUGAAAUUUUAAAUCAAAUAUUGAAAUGAUGAAGUAUGAAAGUAUAUGUGCUUUUAAAAACCAUAACUAACAUAUCAAAACACAGCAGGCUUAAAAUAUCAGUUCAUGGAAGAAAAUAUUGGCGUAUUCACCUGUCCUAAUUAAAUUGUGAAAUUCCUUUUUAAAUGAUUAUAUUCAACCUGUUUAUUCUUUAUUUCCUGACCAAUUUUAUGUAUUUCAUGGUCUUUUCUUUUUUCAUUUCACGUCAUUGGAUGCAAAUAGUUCUCAUGUCGUUUGUAUUUGAAUGAUCUAUUUCAUUUUUAUUUAGGUUCGGCGCAUAAUAAAUAUUUCCAACGUUUUGUUUGGCUGUACCACCAGACCACAGACAUAUUUUUUAAAUGACCACUAAAAAUGAUUUUUUUUUUUAAAUGUAGAUGAAUAUGAUAAAUAUAUAUAUAUAUAUAUAUAUAUAUUAUACAGUAUUUACAAAUCUAUUUAUACUGUAUUAUAUAUAGGUACAAAUCCACACAGUGUGUAAGCAAUUCAUCAAAAUGUUAUGACAUACUUUUGUAAUACUUUCAUACUAGAUAAGGCUUGUAUUACAAUACUUAUGAAUAUUCUUACAGUAUGUUCGAUAUUUAUUGGAUUUGGAGAAGUUCAUUCUGAUGAUGUCAUCACCAAAACACUAAUUGGAUUGGCUGCUCCUCCCCUCCUCCUACACUGCUCUGUGCUUCCACUUGACCGAGUGGGCGCAUAUGACCCCCCCAGUGGCCGCUCCUCUUUGUACACACACACACACACACACACACACAUUGACAUGGUAAUUGUGGGUGUGUGUGAGGCGUCGUGUCCGAGGAUGCAAAGACAUGAGUUGUGCAUGAAGACGUGCUUUGUUCCUUUUUUCCACUGAAAUUCUCAGCUCUUUUCCUUUGUUUGGUAGUUGAACAAAAAACAUUUUCUCCUGCAUUAUUUAUUUAUUCAUCACUCUAUAAUGUGUAAUUACAUUUUUCUAUUUAUUUGUAUUUAUUUAUGCAAUUAUUAUUGCAUUAUUAUUAUUAUUGAAUUAUUCUUUUUUAUUAUUUAUACUAUUGACUUAUUUAUCAUUUUUCCCCCAUUUUAAUAAGCCAUCUACUAAUUGUGGCACUGUCAUUUUUCAACAGAGGAAGUGAGGAAGCUAUAAAUAAUUGCUGAGAUGUGGAGAAAGGGUUGGGAUUAAACAGGUAAGAAGCAGUCGUGCUGAGUGAAACGUUAUUUUCUCGUUGAAAGCCAUGAGAGUGAUGUCAUGUAAGAAGAGGAUGAGGAGCGAGAUGAAGGCGAGGUGAGUGAUGUGGUUACGUGAAACCAAAGGCUGCUGGGAAAUGUUUCAUAAUUGGAUGCACUUGACUGACUGCUGCAGAGCUGCAUUAGCCAAAGUCAAUUACAGCUGAUGGGGGGGGGAGACAUUGUCUGCAUCCUUACGACUCAGGUUGACGUCACUGCAAGGGUGUCCAAAGUACCGCCCGGGGGCCGUUUGCGGCACAGUUAAGGGAUUUUUUGACAUGAAGUUGUAUGACACCCCCAUCAGCAGUGUAGUCCAUUAACAACUACACACCCCCCACUUGGUCUCCUCAGUCCAGUUCUGGUCAUAUUUCUGUGAUGAACGACGUAGUUGCGCUUAGUUGCUGGAGACAAUGAAGUAAAGAGUUUAGCUUCUCAAAACAAUAUGCGUUCAAAAGAGUAAUACAUUUGCAUCACAAAAAUGCCUUAUCAAAAAAACAUCAGACAUCACAAAACACUCGGCGUUAUAUCUGUCUCCCGCCGUAUCCCUGCGCACUGUCGCCUGUGCGUUCAUGUGAAUGCGACGAAAAGGCUCGCAUCUUCUUCCGCUGUGGAACACAUACGUACACAAGAUGACCGCGGCGCUCUGUCCCGACCAUCUCUUUUUGCCUCUCGCACAAAAACGCAUAAAAGUUGUUGGGAUCGGGUGUUCGGGAUUAUAAAAACUUAUAAAUACGUCUUUGGUAUGAAAGAGUUCAUGACAAAAUUCAAGAUUCAAGAGAGUUUUAUUGUCAUGUGCAUAGUACAACAGCAGUUAUACCAUGCAAUGAAAAUCUUAUUCUGUUCAUUCUCCCAAGAACAUAAGAAACAUAAACACAUAAACAUAAAUACCAAUAAAUUAAGCAACAACAACAGAAGAGACAUUAAUACAAAUAAAUAAUACAAAUAAAUAAAUAAAGUGCUAUGAGUGUGUGCGUGUGUUGCGUGCGGCGUGUGCGAGUGCUUCGUUGAGGAGCCUGAUGGCCUAAAAUAUGCAUAUUUAAGCAAAUGUGAUGUGUUUUCUGCCUAACUGAAGCAUUUUCAAGCAUAAAAAUGGCUAAAUGAAGUAAAAUACAAAUGUAAGGCAUUCGAAAGACUCAUUCAAAGACACAUAUGUAGUAUUCCACACUGGUCACUAGGUGUCAGUAAUGUUACACGGAUGAGACAGUUGCCACUGCGGGAAGUACAGUCAACUGGAAGUAAAAAAAACAAGGAACUCUCUCAAUGCUAACGUGAGUCCAAAUUGCCUUAUUGUCUCUUGAUUAUGUCUACUAUAUUGGGUAAUAGGAGUGUAAAGGAGUGUAAAAGACUCUAGGGGUGUUCUCUCAUCUCUAGAGGGCUCUAAUAAUCUUAAAAAGUGUAUUUAGAAGAUUGUAAACAGGUUUUCUAUGCUAUAACUACAAAAAUAUUACAUUUCUAAAUGAGGAAUCUUUGUGGAAAUUCACUUAUCGUUGGUUGGAACCAAUUAAAUGGUAUAAGUGAGGGGCACUUUUAAUGUGCAUAAAGUUGUUUUUAUUUUGAUGUGAUUGUGUGUGUGUGAAUAUGAUGCUUUAUGAUGUAUAAAGUGUGUGAAUGAUGCUUUAUGAUGUAUUAAGUGUGUGUAUAUGAUGCUAUCAUGAUGGUUCUCGUCUGAAGGUUCUUCCAAGUCUGCGGUUUGUUUAGGUGGUUCGAUGCUUAUUGGAUUGCAUGACGUUCUCCGGCACCUCUGCUGGGUAUGAUGACACCUCGGGUUGCUGAGACGUGUCUGCAGCCUCGAGAUGUGAUACGGAAGACUAGAAGUAGUGGACCCACCCUCAUCACAGUCUGGAAGUAGGGGUUCUCGUGGCCUGGGACCAGAUACGAGUAGCGGGACGGGUUUUUGUCUUUGAAGGUCUUCAUGGCGUCCGGGUUGAGGUCGUACGAACCCGACUGAAAGGCACGAGUGCUGCCCGCCUCCAUCAUCUCCAUGGACGGCGGCAUCGCGUCCCAGGUGGUGGUUGCGCGGGGGAGGGGCGUGAUGUCAGAGGGCCACGGCUUGGCCAGUUCGCCCGCUGGGUAUGGACUACUGGUGCUGCUGCUGGGGUCGCCUCGGCACCGCCGCCUGGUGGACACAGCAAAGGUCACCCAAAACCAACUGGAUGUUCCUUCAUGACGAAGUGGCGAGCUGGUACAACAAGAUAUUUAAACGCAUCAGCUUUGACUUUGGAAAACGCAACCCUGCCUCCACCCACUGAGACAAAGGGGCUCACUCCGCUCAUGCCGUUGUUGAAAUCAAUGCAGAGUGAACCCUCUUCCUGCCUGUUUAGAGACGAGAGACGAGGGAGAACAGACACGCAUGCACAUGUGUGGCCCUAACACUCCUUACUAGAAGAGACGUGAAGAGGAAGAGAGCAGGUUCGCUUGUGCUUCAGCAGGCGGUCCGUCCUGGAAAAAUACUGAUGCACAAAAAGGGGGGAGGUCUAAAGAUGAACAUCCACACGAUAAGAAGCAGG